rnacentral:rRNA from 1 species
AGAGUUUGAUCCUGGCUCAGAACGAACGCUGGCGGCAUGCUUAACACAUGCAAGUCGAACGGGUGUAUGUGGGUAACUACAUACAUUAGUGGCAAACGGGUGAGUAACGCGUGGGAAUCUGCCUAGUAGUACGGGAUAACAUCUGGAAACGGAUGGUAAUACCGAAUAAGCCCUGAGGGGGAAAGAUUUAUCGCUAUUAG